rnacentral:lncRNA from 1 species
AGGAGUGUAGAGAUACUGUUAUGACAUGCAGAUGGAAUGUAAGAGUACAUUCGCAUCGAACGUAACUAUGUGCCGAGUACUCUACUGUCAAGAGUAGCUUGUGAAGAAUAUGGGUAUGUGUCCCUCCGAUCUGAGACCACCACGGAGACUUGUAAGUAACUCACUGUAUUUUAGUAUCAAACUAUCUGAGUUUUUAACUUAGUGAUGAAAGGAUACUAGGUGUAGUCAAGUACUUAUCAAGUCGGUGGGUGAGUCAAGAUGGAAUUGACCCUGCUGAAUUGGUAGGAGAUAUGCAUCCGUGUAUUUCAAUUUAGC